AAAUUUCCAUUUUCAUUUUUCUCACUUACUAUAUAAGAUGAGGUUGACAAGAAUUAAUUAGUUAGUUUGAGGACAGGUAGCAAUUACAGCGAGAACUUUCCAAAGAUGGCGCUUCUGAAAUUGUAUUUUUACUUAGUAACAGCUCUGCUGGCCGUAAAUUUAAUUUUAGCGGAUAAUUCCAACGAAUCCGAACAACAGGAGAAGGCUAGUUUGUUUCCUGGAAAUUUUAACCCAUUUGACUUCUUCGGUCAGUUUCUACCAUUCGGUAAUCGACAAACUAGAGAUGUGAGUAACCAGGAGGAAAGGGAAGGCCAGGAAAAUCAGGAAACCACGAGCGAAAGUUCCAAUCAACGUUUGACUGUCUCUAGUGCCCUAGUGACUUGUAACUACACACUAACUCCUGGAUUAUCCUGCGUGGGCUGCAAUCAAGCGUUGUCAUGCGGGUCAGGCAACGUCGGCAGACAGAGGCGUUGUUUGCUGUACUGCAACAGUGGUAGAUGUUCACUCGUCCCUGGAGCACAAUGCUUAAAUUCCACAGUUGCUGGCUAAACAUGCAUAAGUGUCGGCACGGAAAUCGACCAGAUUAUUUAUGGACUUGUAUACUUUCUUCUUUUAAGACAAACUCACUUUAUCUGGCUUUUUAUUUUGGCGUGAUUCAUGUAUUUUUCGAAAUAUAAUUUCUGCGAAUU